GAUGAAGAACGCAGUGAAAUGCGAUAAGUAAUGUGAAUUGCAGAAUUCAGUGAAUCAUCGAAUCUUUGAACGCACAUCGCGCCCGCCAGUAUUCUGGCGGGCAUGCCUGUUCGAGCGUCAUUUCAACCAUCAAGCCCUGCUUGCGUUGGGGUCCUGCGGCUGCCCGCAGGCCCUGAAAACCAGUGGCGGGCUCGCUAGUCACACCGAGCGCAGUAAUACAUCUCGCUUUGGGCGUGCGGCGGGUUCUUGCCGUUAAACACCCCCUUUUUACCAAGGUUGACCUCGCAUCAGGUAGGAAUACCCGCUGAACUUAAGCAUAUCAAUAAGCGGAGGA
rnacentral:misc_RNA from 1 species